GAAUAUAUUACAUUUAAUUAUUUAUCCCUGAUGUUUAACUUUGUUGAUUAAACGUUAAAAGUUUCCGUCUUGAAACUUUAUUUAUUGCAAAUUUCCCCGCUGCGGGACUAAUAAAGGAUUAUCUUAUCUUAUGUUCAGUAGUGAAACCUGUCUGUUGCUAUGGUUCAGCAGUGAUGCCUGUCUGUUGCCAUGGUUACUGAGCUCAGAGACAGAAGUGAAACACUGAAGACCAGUUUCAUUCGAUCUGAAAACAACCCACAGAACCAGCAGGCUCCUCUGCUGCGACCAACAGGGUGGAGCUCAUUCUCUCUUUGUAUGAACUUUCUUCAUAUUGUCCCUCUGUCUCCUCCUCCAGUGGGUGGAGUCCCCCCCACCCUGACGGUGCUGACCCCCUCCAGUGAGGAGCUGCAGCAGGGGAAGGCCACGCUCAUGUGCCUGGCCAACAAGGGCUUCCCCUCAGACUGGAGUCUGGCCUGGAAGGUGGACGGCGGCAGCAGCAGCAGCAGCAGCAGCUGGGAGGAGAGCAGGAGCCCCGGGGUGCUGGAGAAGGACGGCCACUACAGCUGGAGCAGCACCCUGAGGCUCACUGCCUCUCUUCUUAUCAAAUUGUUUCUAACAGUGUAA